rnacentral:hammerhead_ribozyme from 1 species
GUCCAGCUGAAGUAUGCCAAAUAAGAUGAAACACACGUCCUGGAU